AUUGAACGCUGGCGGCAGGCCUAACACAUGCAAGUCGAACGGUAACAGGAAACAGCUUGCUGUUUCGCUGACGAGUGGCGGACGGGUGAGUAAUGUCUGGGAAACUGCCUGAUGGAGGGGGAUAACUACUGGAAACGGUAGCUAAUACCGCAUAACGUCGCAAGACCAAAGAGGGGGACCUUCGGGCCUCUUGCCAUCGGAUGUGCCCAGAUGGGAUUAGCUAGUAGGUGGGGUAACGGCUCACCUAGGCGACGAUCCCUAGCUGGUCUGAGAGGAUGACCAGCCACACUGGAACUGAGACACGGUCCAGACUCCUACGGGAGGCAGCAGUGGGGAAUAUUGCACAAUGGGCGCAAGCCUGAUGCAGCCGUGCCGCGUGUAUGAAGAAGGCCUUCGGGUUGUAAAGUACUUUCAGCGGGGAGGAAGGGAGUAAAGUUAAUACCUUGGCUCAUUGACGUUACCCGCAGAAGAAGCACCGGCUAACUCCGUG
rnacentral:rRNA from 1 species